rnacentral:lncRNA from 1 species
GGAGUGACGGAGUUGGGCUGCGAAAGCUAUCGAGAAAGGGAGUUUUUUUUGCGACAAGGGGAGUUGGAGAGUUGGCGUUGAGCUUAUUUGGGUCGGGGUCGUUUGGGUCUAAGAAGAUAGGUAAAGGAGGUAGUUUUUUUAAGUCCAUAUUAUCUCCGUAAACUUUCGUGUCCUGAAUUCUAAAACUGGGCAUCACCUCCUUAACUUUUAAAGUUGUUCAUCUUACCUCCCUAGCCU